rnacentral:tRNA from 1 species
GGUGAGAUGGCCGAGUUGGUUAUGGCGCCAGGUUAAGGCUAUAUCUUAACUGGAUUUCCUGGUGGUGAAAACCGCGUGGGUUCGAGUCCCACUCUCAUCA